AGUUACAAACAGAGAGGGAGGGAGGUGAACCACAAGAGACUCUUAAAUACUCUUAAAUACAGAACAAACUGUGGAUGGGGGUGGGGGAGAGGGGAAAGUGGGUGAUGGGCAUUGAGGAGGGCACCUGUUGGGAUGAAUGCUGGGUGUUGUAUGGAAACCAAUUUAACAAUAAAUUAUAUUUAGAAAAGAGAGCGAGAUGGAAAGUUUUUGUUAUUGUUGUUGUUGUUGUGUUAUUGUUGUUGUUGUUCCUGCCCCCCCCCCCCCCCCCAACUACAGCUAUUGAAGCCAAGGCUAGAAAUCAAUUGUCCAGAUAUUUUGGAAGUGAUUUUUGCCACGUGGUGGUUUCUAAGCUUUUUUUCCUACAAGAAGGAUUUAAGACUUUACAAUGCUCCUUUGUAAUUUAUUGAUAACCAGUGACUGGAUUGUGAAGUUCUAUGGUUUAUUGGCAAUUCACUAUGGCAGUUCGAAUGAAUAGCUCAAGGUUACUGCCACUUGAAUAUCUUCAAAGUCCUAGAAUUGCUGUCUGCCUCCCAUUUUCCUGGCCCUCAUUCUGGGCCCUCAACUCUGGCCACUGCUGCACUAAACGCUUCUGGGGCUGGUGUAACCUCCCUGCAUCCCAUGUGCCACAUGCUUUCUCACCUGGGGCCCAUCCAACUUGCAGGAUGACGGUCUCGCAAUGAGUGCAGCUGGGAAGCUUAGCAGGGUUAACCCUCGACCAGAAAAGGAGCCAGUGGGAAAUGGGUCCUCGUCCUGAGCGCACCAUGAAAGCACGCACGCAAGUUGCGUCUUUCCGCAACGUCAGCUCUGCGCAGCCACAAAGCAAAGUUAACGUAAUAGCACGACAAAGCAGUUUCCGGAUUCUGAACCCAGUGACGCUUCACCACGUGUUUAACGAGUUAUAGAUCACACGGAGCAAAGCACACGUCGCGCACAAAUGGGGUAGAACAGGGGUCAGGAAGUUAAUGAACCAAAUGUGAAGUCCAUUUGUGGACGUCAGUCGAGUCGAGGCUCCGUCGUCCGGUCCUGGUCGGCUCUCGGCACUUACCUCUGGUUAUGUGCGGGCAGUGGAGGAUCUCUGUUCCGUUCAGAGAUCAAUCUGCAGAACCUUUGGUGGCAGCUGCCUUUUUGAAAUGGUCGUACACGGAGGAGCCAGUGUCUGGAGAAUCUGACAGUUUGCUGCAAAAAUCCUCCCCUUUUAAAGGGAUUUAAUCCGUCUUGGGCCGUUACAGACCUCCCCGGCUCUGCUGGUUAUCAGUUCUGUGUUACCCACCACCACUGGCCUCAGCGAUAUCGGGUCUUGGCUGCAACGCCCUUAGCUGCUUGAGUCACCGCUUGACGUAGGCCAGUGCUUGACACGAGUGACUCCAUCUUAUUCUCUGUAGUUUUCUUCUUUUCCUUGGGAGACAGUAUAGAAGCCCAUUCUCCAUGUCUCUUCAUAGGGGCCUGUUAGAACUAAGCUCCUGCUGUCCCCAACGCUCCCUUGCAUCGGCUUUGGCCCUUCUCCAUCUUAUUCUUGUUUGUCUCCCUCCCCUGCUUCCUAAACUAGCUGACCGGCUCCUUGUACUUCCUACCUCCUCAAGGACUCCAUGCACACAAAUGUUUUUCUGAGGCUGCUUUCUGGGGCCCAAGUAAAUCUCAAACAAUGAGUAUCAGAAGAUGCGAUAGAUGGUCCGCUCACGGAUCAGACGGUGAUAAACAGCCUUUGAUGGCGAUGAUAUAAUGGAGGCACAGAGAAACUAAGAAAUUUGGCCGAGUUCACACAGCUAAUGGUUGAUAGAGUCAGGAUAAAUCGACUUGUCUGCUUAGAAGAAGAAUGUGACCCUCGCUCAGACUUGCUCAGCAACUGACGUUCAUCCGAACUCCAGGCAACUGCACAAGCUAUAUAUACUUCUCAUUCGAAAUCAGAGAUUAAAUGAAAGGAAGCAGGUGAAACCCAAGAGAACGUGGCAAGACAGUGGCAGAAGCACACCUGUUAAGCACAAGCGCCGGGUCGGGACACCUGAUCAGCGACUGCCGGCAAGAGCACGUGCCCGGGGGAGCUGAGCACGACCACAGCCACAGAGAAGGCAGGAGCCAAGCAUUUGUUCCCAUCUUGGCAAAAACUAGGAGUUAAAAAGAAAGGGGAUUAGUGACAUUGCAUGGAACAAGCCGAAAGUAUAGAGCAAACGCACAUCAUCUUAGAGAAUUUAGCCUUGUCCCCCACAUGUCAUUUCUGAAUAGCUGGGAUCUCUGGAUAUCGCUUUCGACAGCACCUGCAGACUGUCACCCAUUCCUUGUCGUGAGCCCACGUGCAAGGAGGGAAAGCAAUUCUUACCUGAGGUUUGAGAAUAGACCUGGUGACUUUAGGGGCAGUAUAAAACUCAUAUCAUAAAAGCAAAAGACAGAAAAAAAUGAGGUUCUUCCCCAGCAGCAGUGUGUCAAAUCAGAGACAUCUCUGAUUACUUGAUUGGCACAUCAGAAAUGAGGGCACAAUGUGAAAACCUCCCUUACGUUGAUAAUGUGAGUCUUCAGCCAUUUCUUUCCCAAGAUUUUGGAUUUUAUGUUGCUUUUUCUUUUCCUCUUCUCAUUUUACAUUUGAUUCUGUUUCUUUUUUAAUUUUUUAAUGUUUAUUUAUUUUUUGAGAGAGAGAGACAGAGAAGUGAUGGAGGGGAGGAGAGAGAGAGAGAGAGAGAGAGAGAGACAGAAUCCGAAGAAAGCUCCAGUCUCUGAGCUGUCAGCACAGAACCCGACGUGGGGCUUAAACUCACGAACCGUGAGGUCAUGACCUGAGCCGAAAUUAAGAGUAGGGAUGCUUAACCAACCGAGCCACCCAGUUGCCCCUCAAAUGACUUUUUUAAACAAUUGUAUCAAGGUUUUCUUCUGGGGCUUUGUCAGUCUUCCCUCCCACCCCUCAUCCCUUUCUCUUUUUUGUUUCUCCUUUUUAAAUUUUUAAUGUUUAUUACAUAUCUACUUGUGUCAGUUGCUAUACUGGGCAUUGAUGAUAUUUACCCUGCCCCCUGAAAUUUCACAGUCUUUUACAGGAUGAUUUAAAAAAUUGCUGUUGAGGGGCGCCUGGGUGGCGCAGUCGGUUAAGCGUCCAACUACAGCCAGGUCACGAUCUCGCGGUCCGUGAGUUCGAGCCCCGCGUCAGGCUCUGGGCUGAUGGCUCGGAGCCUGGAGCCUGUUUCCGAUUCUGUGUCUCCCUCUCUCUCUGCCCCUACCCCGUUCAUGCUCUGUCUCUCGCUGUCCCAAAAAUAAAUAAAAACGUUGAAAAAAAAAUAAAAAAUAAAAAAAAAUAAAAAAU